rnacentral:rRNA from 1 species
UACGUAGGGCGCAAGCGUUGUCCGGAAUUAUUGGGCGUAAAGAGCUCGUAGGCGGCCAGUUGCGUCCGCUGUGAAAUCCCGGGGCUUAACCCCGGGCGUGCAGUGGAUACGGGCUGGCUAGAGGCAGGCAGGGGAGAACGGAAUUCCCGGUGUAGCGGUGAAAUGCGCAGAUAUCGGGAGGAACACCGGUGGCGAAGGCGGUUCUCUGGGCAUUACCUGACGCUGAGGAGCGAAAGUGUGGGGAGCGAACAGG